UUGACAACAUUUGGUGUGUAUUGGGGACACUAUAAAUCUUAUUCCGGACUUUUGUAGUGGCUUUAAAUAUGUUACUUAAAUCGGAUACAUGAGACAUUCUGUUAUUUAGGAAUAUCAAGAUGGAUUCAGAUUUUAAAUCUAAAUGUAAAAAUGGCUGUGUUCUUUCAUGCGUGUGUACUGUUGUUACAGGUGUUGUAAUGAUAUAUUACUUUUAUCAAAGUAUUUCUCAGACUAAAUAUUCAUCGGACAUAAUGGAACCACCUUUGCCAAGUUUCAGACAUGAAAAACUACAAUCGGAUGCAAACAAUACCAUGGAAUGUCAAGUACAGAAGUUUCAUUGCCAUAUUUAGAAAAUUAAACUGUAGUCUACAUCGUAAAAUUCGUGUUCCGUGAGCGUUCCGAAUGUUAUACUACAGUAUGGGCAUCCACGAACAGCAACAACGCUACAGUUCAAUAUAUUGUGUUUGAGUAUGGCACUGCUACACGAAGAUGUGAAAAACUCUGUAGGAUGCUAUUACAACAAGAAGAAAUCCAAGAAAUAUAUCGUUAUAAAAACGCAUGCAAUUGCAAAGUUUCUGACUAAGAUACCGUCUCAUUCUUGGAUUUUCAUGACUUCAAAGGUUAAAUUUUCGCCUAAGGAAAAGCAGCGGUAUAGCUUAACUAGACAAAAUAUAAAAGUAAUAAGAGCAAAAAAUAUAACGAUUAAAUAUGUUGCUGAUAUCAAUUUUGUUUCCAAACGAGGUCAUUCGGUUGUUUAUGAAUACCAGCCUAUAUUUGGGAUAUCAGAUGCAAAAAUGCAGCAUAUGGCUGAAUAUUUCCGCUACUGGGAUAUACUUCGGUUAUGCUGUGGAAAACAGAUGUCUGCAGAUUGGCGAAAUCACCUGUCACUAAAUCCAAACUAUAAAAGACAUCAUGUCCAUAAUAGCUCAAUACAUUCUGUAUGCGAAAGAUACAAUAUAAGUCAAGUCGAAGUACAGUUCUUAAAUACGUAUGCCUUCAAGACGUUUGCUCAUAUAGAUUCACUUCGUGACGUCAUUGGGAAGCCAUCAACAGUUGACGGUAAACUAGACGGAAGCUAUUGUGAACGUUGUAACGCAAAUAUUACUCAUCGAAGUCUUAAAUUUAAUCAGAAAUGCGCCUAAAAAGUGUAUAUUUUGAAAUCAUUUUUAUCUAUCGAUACAUCUAUUUUGUGAUAUCCUUAACUCUAUUUUACUAUUUCUCGAUAUCUUUUUGUAACAUCAAAAAUAAUUGAUUUAUAUCAUAGAAUAAAAUCAAAGUUAUUAUCAUAUUUAAUUCAUG